GAUGAACGCUGGCGGCGUGCCUAAUACAUGCAAGUCGAGCGAACGGACGAGAAGCUUGCUUCUCUGAUGUUAGCGGCGGACGGGUGAGUAACACGUGGAUAACCUACCUAUAAGACUGGGAUAACUUCGGGAAACCGGAGCUAAUACCGGAUGAUAUUUUGAACCGCAUGGUUCAAAAGUGAAAGACGGUCUUGCUGUCACUUAUAGAUGGAUCCGCGCUGCAUUAGCUAGUUGGUAAGGUAACGGCUUACCAAGGCAACGAUGCAUAGCCGACCUGAGAGGGUGAUCGGCCACACUGGAACUGAGACACGGUCCAGACUCCUACGGGAGGCAGCAGUAGGGAAUCUUCCGCAAUGGGCGAAAGCCUGACGGGGCAACGCCGCGUGAGUGGUGAAGGUCUUCGGAUCGUAAAACUCUGUUAUUAGGGAAGAACAUAUGUGUAAGUAACUGUGCACAUCUUGACGGUACCUAAUCAGAAAGCCACGGCUAACUACGUG
rnacentral:rRNA from 1 species